rnacentral:rRNA from 1 species
UGGGGAAUUUUGGACAAUGGGCGCAAGCCUGAUCCAGCCAUGCCGCGUGCGGGAAGAAGGCCUUCGGGUUGUAAACCGCUUUUGUCAGGGAAGAAAUCUUCUGAGUUAAUACCUCGGGAGGAUGACGGUACCUGAAGAAUAAGCACCGGCUAACUACGUGCCAGCAGCCGCGGUAAUACGUAGGGUGCAAGCGUUAAUCGGAAUUACUGGGCGUAAAGCGUGCGCAGGCGGUUUUGUAAGACAGAGGUGAAAUCCCCGGGCUCAACCUGGGAACUGCCUUUGUGACUGCAAGGCUUGAGUGCGGCAGAGGGGGAUGGAAUUCCGCGUGUAGCAGUGAAAUGCGUAGAUAUGCGGAGGAACACCGAUGGCGAAGGCAAUCCCCUGGGCCUGCACUGACGCUCAUGCACGAAAGCGUGGGGAGCAAACAGGAUUAGAUAGCCCUGGUAGUCCACGCCCUAAACGAUGUCAACUGGUUGUUGGGAAGGUUCCUUCUCAGUAACGUAGCUAACGCGUGAAGUUGACCGCCUGGGGAGUACGGCCGCAAGGUUGAGACUUAAAUGAAUUGA